GGGCAGUGACAUAAGGACCAUACCUGUACUCUAAUCAAGCCAGAUCAGGAGACAGUGAGUGCUUCUGCACUAACAAUCAAGGACAAGUCCCAAAUGUCAUGACUAAACUAUUUCUUGUCUUCUUCCAAGAAGAGAGAAGAUAUACAGAUAGUCCAAAAAUACAUGGAAACUUACUGAGAAAGCCCUUCCUAUAGGAAUGUAUGUUUGUUAUUUUUAUAUUGGGGUGGUGCUCUGAAAAGAUGUUUCUGGGUGCCAAGAGAAGGGAGGAUGAUGUGGGAAUAUACCCACUGGCAGCCUGAAGUAACUUGGAGUGUGAUAGGGAAUGCCUGGACUUGACUGUGCCGACUCUCAUGCAGGUUUCACUGCCUCACUUUCUUUUUGUUCCUCACAUAAAAGCAAUCACUCUUCCUAUGAACACAUGUGAUUAGAGGUGAGUAUUUAGCAGCAUUAAUUCAUGGUCUUUGUGAGAGCUCAUUCCUUCUUCACCCCACCCCAGAGCAUUUAAAACUUCCCUCUGCCAAAAUAUAAUAAAUUGCAGGUCUGGCCCCUAAUGAUUCCUCAUCUGGGAAGCCAGGGAUGAGGGCAAUUUAUCUCCUAACGAUUAAACCUGCAGAAAAAAAAAAAAAAAAAAAAAAAGGGCGAAUUGCCUGACUGAAAUUACUGCCCAUGCAUUAUUCAGCCACCUGUGGGGAGGUCUGCAGGAGAGCAGAGAGAAGCCAGCACCAGGCAGUGUGUUUAAAAACAAGGUCACAGGAGAUGGAGUGAGUCCAUGGAGCCCACUCCUGGAGUGUGAACCUCCACCAACAGUGACCUCCAAGAGCCAUUCCCAGGGAACCUCACCUUUCCCACCUCCAUGCCCAAAGGUGCCAUGGGACUUUUGCUCACCUGUUCAAAGGGCCUAUGAAGGAGACAGCGAGAGCUAAGGGAGAGCUAACAAAUGAUCCCUCCUGCUCCUUCCUGCCCUCCCAGCAGCCUGGGGGUCGUGUGGCUUUAAUUAAUCAGUCGACUCACGUGGCGACACUGACACAAAUGGCACCUGCUGUCAUCCUCUCCCACGUAAGUGCUGGUGAUAAAUGGCACGGGCUGUGCUGGCCAGUGAUUCCAGUUGGCCGAGCAGAGAUGGAUGCUUGUGUCCCCCUCUGUGACAGAGGAGUUAAUCAUGAUGAAGAGUGAACAUGCAGGGCAAACACCUCCAGCCUGAUCUUCCAAGGAGGAUGCUGUGGUCCAGUUCACAGAGGGACUUUACCAGUGGUUUGGAAAGGUGCAAAAGGUACCAAGUUCUCCCUCAUGUGCCAGCAGAUGGAUUUGCUGCAGGUCAGUUACAUUUUAGAGGAUGUUUCAGGUAGCUGCAUAUGGGAGGCUGGUAGCUGCUCCUCAUCCUCAGCCCUUCCUGGAUGCAAUGUGCUCUGAGUUCCUCUUCCAGCAGAAAUGUCCUGGCUGGUGCCACCAGGCAUGCAGCUCUGCUCCAGGCUGUGGGAGGCAGAGACACUCCUUCUGCCAGGCAGGACUUCAAGGCUUCUCAGAAGAAAUGGUCAUAGGUAUAUCUUCAGGUCCUGAUGACCCAAGGGGUUUUCUUGAUCUAUUUAAUACAUCCAGAGGGACGAGUGUGGGCUCUCCAAGUUCCCUGAAUCUCCCACUGCUCCUCUCCCUGUCAGUAUUGUCUCACUGGGAAAUCCCAAAGCUCCCUCCACCAUGUGUGUACCUUCUGGGACAGGAGAUUCUGUGAACAGCAGUGUGACUCACCACAGGGCCUGUUGUGAGGUGAUGCAGCAAGGACUGUCUCCAAGCCUGGAAUAUCAGAAAAAGGGUCAAUGCCAUCAGAUGGUCACAGACUCCUCCCUGUGUUGAGCCAAGGAGAUGUGCUGGUCUGUGUCAAGCAUCUGCAUGGCUCUCUCUCCCAGCACCUGAUCUCAGCCACUGCUCUCAGUGACAGUGACUAGUAAGGAACCAGGCCAGAGGGCACGUGUGCAUGUGCCCAAUUUUCCCUUUUCAGAAUAGUUUUACAGGUAUCAGACACUCAGGUGAUCUGGUAUCUGGUAGUGGAAAUGAUAUGGGGGCAGGACGAACACUGCAGUGGGCAGAGAAGAACUGAAAUUCAGCAAAGGGAAAGGUAGGGUCCUGCACCCGGGGAGGAGCAAUCAGGGCGAGGGCUGACCUGCUGGAAAGCAGCUCUGUGGAGAAGGACAUGAGGUCCUGGUGGACAGCAAGCUGUCCAUGAGCCAGCAGUGUCCUUGCAUCCAAGAUCAGUGGUUUCCUGGGGCACAUUAAGAAAACCACUGCCAGCAGGUUGGGGGAGGUGAUCCUGCCCCUCUGCUCAGCCCUUGUGAGGUGUAUCUGGAGUGCUGUGUCCAGUUCUGAGCUCCUCAGCACAAGAGAGACAUGGAGCUCCUGGAGUGGGUCCAGUUGAGGACAACAAAGAUGAUUAAAGGACAGGAGCAUCUCUCUUAUGUGAGGAAAGAGCCUGUUCAGCCUUGAGAACAGAUGACUGAAAGGGAACCUCACCAAUGCCUGUCAAGGAUGAGCUCUGUGGGAAUUGUUUGGUCUGUGGUGCAAGGUUCUGGAUGGGGAUUCAGAGUCUGGAGCACAAAGCCUUGCUCCCUGGUGCUCAGACUGGCUGCACACAGUCUGCAAAAUCUCCUCCUCUCCUCUCUCUUUCAGACCCAGCCUACCAGAUCAAAAAAGCACAAAAUACUUCCACUGAGGGAAUCACUGGAGCCUUCUCCAGCAGCCAAGGAGAGCACUUCUAAUGUCUGCAGUGUCCUGGUGUCUAUGCUACGUGACUGAAAAUUCAAUAUUUGUAUUGUUAUUGACUUCUCCAGAAUGAAUUCAGCAACCCCUAUUAAGGAUCUCAUUCUUGAAGUAACUUCAGAGUUAUUGAGAGUAAUCUUCAUAAAUGAUGUUAUGCUUCUGUGCAAUCUCAUCCCAUAGAUUUUUCUGUAUCAGCUAUGAUUUUUUUUAAUGGGGGAUUUGGUACAGAGUUCCUUGUUUUUUUUUCAGUCUAUGCUGAGCAGUGUGAAUUAAGACUGAAAAUACAUGUUUCUGUCUUUUGACAGUGUAAUUUGAUUGUGAAGAAGUGUCCAGUCUUUUCUGCUGUGACAGCUCAUUGUACAGGUCUGUGUGCCAGUUCAGUGUAUGGGGACAUUACCCAGGCUGGGGUCACCAGGGUGACCUUUACUCAUCACUCUGCCACCAAGCUGGACACGCAGGGAACUGGAGAUGCUGUCUGCAUGCCAAAUGAGAUCAGUGUUCCCAGUCCUCCCUCUUCUGCUUUGGGACCUAUUGAUCACUGUCAGUGAAUAUCUGCUGGAUGUCCCCUGAAAUAAAGCUUAUCUCUGCUGCUCUCUGUCCAGAUUUCAUCAAGGACUAAAAACUCCUUUUGACUUCAAUUAUAUUUGGCUAGUUUUCUUGAAAAAUAAAAUAAAAUGCAUUAACUCUGCUCCAAAUUCCCAGAAUAAUUAGAAAUAAUAUCAGUAAAAAUGGUGGGGUUGACUCAAACAUGAGUCGUGCUGCUGAUUUGUGAUGCAGUUGCUGUGAAAAAGUGGAAGACCACCCACACUUUCCUCAGGCAGCAUUGCUAGUCCACAUCCAUGGACCAGCUUGGUUUUCCCACCACCUUCUCAACAGCUCCUGGCUGCUGUCUAAGAUGGGACACAAGAUCAUGCCUUUGACUAAGUGUUCCACAUCUCCCUAUCCAUGUGAAACAGAGAAAGCUUUUUCUAUCCUCAUUGCUCCAGGCUAGAAGUUGUUGAACCUCAGUACUGGGUGUGAGCUGCCCAGAAUUUUACUAUUAACUUUCUUUGU